rnacentral:rRNA from 1 species
AUUGAACGCUUGCGGCAGGCCUAACACAUGCAAGUCGAGCGAGCGGCGGACGGGUGAGUAAUGUAUGGGGACUGCCCGAUCGAGGGGGAUAACUACUGUAAACGGUGGCUAAUACCGCAUACUGUCUGAUAACCUCUUUGGGAGUAGCUAGUAGGUAAGGUAAUGGCUUACCUAGGCGACGAUCCCUAGAUGGUCUGAGAGGAUGAUCAGCCAGCGUGGGACUGGGACCCGGCCCAGGCUGCUACGGAGGCAGCAGUGGGGAAGAUGGCAGAAUGGGCGAAAGCCUGAUGCAGGCAGGCGGCGUGUAUGAAGAAGGCCCUAGGGUUGUAAAGGACUUUCAGGCGUGAGGCGUUACCGACAGAAGAAGCACCGGCUAACUCCGUGCCAGCAGCCGCGGUAAUAC